GCGAGAAACGUCAAGGAAACGAUGGCGACGGCGGACGUGGAGAAGCCGAUGGCCGCCGACAACGCCGGCGCCCGAUCGCCGGUGGCGAAGACUAGAGGAACCACCGGUGAGGGGCUCCGCCAGUACUAUCUCCAGCACAUCCACGAUCUGCAGCUCCAGGUUCGUCAGAAGACUCACAACCUCAACCGCCUCGAGGCCCAGCGUAAUGAUCUCAACUCCCGCGUGAGGAUGCUAAGAGAGGAGCUGCAAUUGCUUCAGGAACCU
rnacentral:misc_RNA from 1 species